GACGAACGCUGGCGGCGCGCCUAACACAUGCAAGUCGAACGAGCGAGCGAGAGCUUGCUUUCUCGAGCGAGUGGCGAACGGGUGAGUAACGCGUGAGGAACCUGCCUCAAAGAGGGGGACAACAGUUGGAAACGACUGCUAAUACCGCAUAAGCCCACGACCCGGCAUCGGGUAGAGGGAAAAGGAGCAAUCCGCUUUGAGAUGGCCUCGCGUCCGAUUAGCUAGUUGGUGAGGUAACGGCCCACCAAGGCGACGAUCGGUAGCCGGACUGAGAGGUUGAACGGCCACAUUGGGACUGAGACACGGCCCAGACUCCUACGGGAGGCAGCAGUGGGGAAUAUUGCACAAUGGGGGAAACCCUGAUGCAGCGACGCCGCGUGGAGGAAGAAGGUCUUCGGAUUGUAAACUCCUGUUGUUGAGGAAGAUAAUGACGGUACUCAACAUGGAAGUGACGGCUAACUACGUG
rnacentral:rRNA from 1 species